rnacentral:lncRNA from 1 species
UCAAAGUCAGCCAUGGAAUUCCGGGCUUCUGCUGGAGAAUUCUUGUAGUCUGUGCCUCCUGCAAUUUUUGUCUUUUAGAUAGCUAAUAUUUAAAACGGAGCACAGAAAGAUGCUUUAUCAAUAUUUGGUCUCUCAGUGCUCUAAGACUCUGGAUCUCCAGGAAGCUGUACCACCUCACCUCACCUCACCACCUGCUGUCCUGGCUGGCCGCGAGCUCAGGAGACUCACCCAUCUCCACCCACCCACUCUCCAGUACUGCAGCUCCAGACCACACCUGGCUUUUAUGCUGUUACUGGGAAAGAACUCAGGUUCGCAUGCUUGUGCUGCAGGCACUUGACCAAAGAAGCUAUGCUCUAAGAAUAUAAUUUUGAAACUCCAAAAGGAAAACAAAAGUGCUUCAAAGUUCCCUCAGGACCUACAGAUAUAACGUCCCGUCAAUUACAGAGCAGUGAAAGUAAAGACCUGUAAUUUUCCCAUUUUGAAAUAAACACAGUAUCUGAAUACAAUAAACAAGUGAACAAAAUCAUACGCUGUCUCUGUGGGAUUGUCACGUAGCUG